CAAGAGAUGUAGAACUGAACUGGGUUGAACAAGCUUGAAGAUAAUUUUCUGAAUUUGAUCUUAUACUGAGAUAAUGUUGUUUGGCCGGAAUUGGAGACAAACGUGGCGGAUGCGAGCAACAAGGAGAAGCAACCCCCAGGUGCUCCUGGGCAGCGAGGAAGAGGAUCGAGCGGAGCGUGAUUUGGGGAUCAUGGAGUGAACCUAGAGGAAUAUUGUGUGCGGAGGAGCACGUCGGAGCAAAAUUGUAAUAUGAGCAAAAUUGUAAUUACUGUCCAGUUUAAAUACAAUUAUGUAGAGAAACUUUGGAUCGUAUAGAAUAAAGAGCGUAUAGAAUAAAGAGUGAAUUUGUUUUUAUUCUA